CCAUAUCUACAAUAAAUACAUAAUAAAAUUAAAUUAAUUAAUAUAUAUAUAUAUAUGAUUAAUUUAAUAUAAAAUUAAUUUAAGGAUAAAAUUUUUAUCAAUUAGUUGGCCACAACAUGUGUGCCAACGGAGCCAUUAGUAUGCUUGAUCGGAUGCUGCUGGAUGAAUCGAUUCUAUCUUGCCCUCUGUCGUCCACCAGAAUACUCCUC
rnacentral:lncRNA from 1 species